CAUCUGUCAAAUAUAAAUAUUAUAACAAAGAUAAGCUGAAGAGGUGGCUCGCAGAAAUUGACUGAAAUGGAGAAACUUCACCUGGAAGAGAAGGCAUCACUGGAAGAGAACCAAACCUGCACAAACCCAGGCGGCCAUGAUGAUAAAGCCUCAGUUGGUCCCAGUGAUGGACAGCAGGUUCAGCCCACCCAGAGGCUGCAGAACAAACAUCGUUGUGACAAGUGUCUGAAAUAUUUCAGAUGGAAGACGUAUCUGAAAAUUCAUCAACACAUUCACACUGGAGAGAAGC